UAAAUGUGUUACUUGCAUGCUUUGAUAUC
rnacentral:piRNA from 1 species